rnacentral:misc_RNA from 1 species
GAUGAAGAACGUAGCGAAAUGCGAUACGUAAUGUGAAUUGCAGAAUCCAGUGAAUCAUCGAAUCUUUGAACGCACAUUGCGCCCUUUGGUAUUCCAAAGGGCAUGCCUGUUCGAGCGUCAUUUGUACCCUCAAGCUUUGCUUGGUGUUGGGCGUCUUGUCUCCAGUUCGCUGGAGACUCGCCUUAAAGUAAUUGGCAGCCGGCCUACUGGUUUCGGAGCGCAGCACAAGUCGCGCUCUCUUCCAGCCAAGGUCAGCAUCCACAAAGCCUUUUUUCAACUUUUGACCUCGGAUCAGGUAGGGAUACCCGCUGAACUUAAGCAUAUCAAUAAGCGGAGGA